AUUAAUAAAGCAAGGCACUGAAAAUGCCAAGAUGAGUCGCACGACUCCAUAAACA
rnacentral:tRNA from 1 species